UACGUAGGUGGCAAGCGUUGUCCGGAUUUAUUGGGUUUAAAGGGUGCGUAGGCGGUUCUGUAAGUCAGUGGUGAAAUACUCUAGCUUAACUAGAGGGGUGCCAAUGAUACUGCAGAACUUGAGUACAGAUGAGGUAGGCGGAAUUGACGGUGUAGCGGUGAAAUGCAUAGAUAUCGUUAAGAACACCGAUAGCGAAGGCAGCUUACUGGGCUGUAACUGACGCUGAUGCACGAAAGUGUGGGGAUCAAACAGG
rnacentral:rRNA from 1 species